rnacentral:tRNA from 1 species
ACCUACUAUAGUUUAUCUAAAACGUUGAAUUGCAAAUUCAAAGAUGAAAAUAAUAUUCUAGUAAGUU